AGUGUCAAGCGAUGGGAAUCGAACCCACGACCUUCCGCUUACCGGGCAGAUGCCAUGACCACUAGGCCACAUGACC
rnacentral:tRNA from 1 species